AUUUUAUGAUGAAAACAAUUGGUCCGUGUUUCGGAGGCGGCCUCAAGACCCGCCGCAAGACGACACAACAAGCACAUUGUGCAACACUGAACUU
rnacentral:snoRNA from 1 species